GCGCAGCACCCGCGUACUUCAUACAAUUCCAAGACACUGUUUACAGGCACAGCACCCGCGUACUUCAUACAAUUCCAAGACACCGUUUACAGGCACAGCACCUGCGUACUCCAUACGUUUUAAGGCAUGGUUUACAUAUAACACCUAUGUCAGACUCACAAGACAAAGGUCACAAAGCCUCUGCAUCCCAUAAAUGAUAUUACAUUUACACUAACAUUGUGUACUGCAACCCACCUCAACAGCAGAGCAGGUCUCAGCCCACCUGAAGUAAAUGCAAGCCUCAGACUGGCCGGGAAGGAGUGCAAAUGGGCUCCGAUGGCCUUGGGCGUUGGUUACGGGGUUGGGCAAAGCUAAAGCCAAUUUGGUUGAGAUCAAUUGAUUGCAAAGCUAAAGCCAAUUUGGGCAAGAUAAAUUGACUGCACCUGCCAAAAUCAGCGCAACUCUCAAAAUGGCCGCAAAGGGGCGCGAGUCUCAGACUGGCCGGGAAGGAGUGCAAAUGGGCUCCAAUGGCCUCGGGCGUUGGUUACGGGGUUGGGUUAGCCCUGCGGUACAAACAAACAAAGCAAAGCUAACCCAACCCCGUAAGCAAGGCAAAGCUAAAGCCAAUUUGGCUGAGAUCAGUUGAUUGCAAAGCUAAAGCCAAUUUGGUUGAGAUCAAUUGACUGCAAAGCUAAAGCCAAUUUGGGCAAGAUAAAUUGACUGCACCUGCCAAAAUCAGCGCA
ensembl:lncRNA